ACUGUAUUGGCAGAAGUGAGUGCGAUAAAUUUAGGUUUUAUUUAUAUAAUUAUUUUAUAUACAGUA
rnacentral:tRNA from 1 species